rnacentral:rRNA from 1 species
GACGAACGCUGGCGGCGUGCUUAACACAUGCAAGUCGAACGGAAAGGCCCCUUUGGGGGUACUCGAGUGGCGCACGGGUGAGUAACACGUGAGUAACCUGCCCUUGACUUCGGGAUAACUUCAGGAAACUGGGGCUAAUACCGGAUAGGAAUCCUUGCUGCAUGGUGGGGGUUGGAAAGCUUCGGCGGUUUUGGAUGGACUCGCGGCUUAUCAGCUUGUUGGUGGGGUAGUGGCUUACCAAGGCUUUGACGGGUAGCCGGCCUGAGAGGGCGACCGGCCACAUUGGGACUGAGAUACGGCCCAGACUCCUACGGGAGGCAGCAGUGGGGAAUAUUGCACAAUGGGCGGAAGCCUGAUGCAGCAACGCCGCGUGCGGGAUGACGGCCUUCGGGUUGUAAACCGCUUUCAGCAGGGGCGAAGCUUGUGGUGACGGUACCUGCAGAUGAAGCACCGGCUAACUACGUG